rnacentral:tRNA from 1 species
GCCGUGUUAGUUCAGUUGUUAGAGCAUUGGACUUUUAAUCCAAUGGUUGUGGGUUCAAAUAUCACAUGAGGUG